rnacentral:rRNA from 1 species
CCUACGGGAGGCAGCAGUGAGGAAUAUUGGUCAAUGGGCGCUAGCCUGAACCAGCCAAGUCGCGUGAAGGAUGACUGCCCUAUGGGUUGUAAACUGCUUUUGUAUGGGAGUAAAGUGCAGUAUGUAUACUGCUUUGCAUGUACCUUAUGAAUAAGGAUCGGCUAACUCCGUGCCAGCAGCCGCGGUAAUACGGAGGAUCCGAGCGUUAUCCGGAUUUAUUGGGUUUAAAGGGUGCGUAGGCGGGUUGUUAAGUCAGUUGUGAAAGUUUGCGGCUCAACCGUGAAAUUGCAGGUGAGACUGGCAGCCUUGAGAACAGUAGAGGUAGGCGGAAUUCGUGGUGUAGCGGUGAAAUGCUUAGAUAUCACGAAGAACUCCGAUUGCGAAGGCAGCCUGCUGGACUGUAACUGACGCUGAUGCUCGAAAGUGUGGGUAGCAAACAGGAUUAGAUACCCUAGUAGUC